UAAUACAUGCAAGUCGAACGCACAGCGAAAGGUGCUUGCACCUUUCAAGUGAGUGGCGAACGGGUGAGUAACACGUGGACAACCUGCCUCAAGGCUGGGGAUAACAUUUGGAAACAGAUGCUAAUACCGAAUAAAACUUAGUGUCGCAUGACACAAAGUUAAAAGGCGCUUCGGCGUCACCUAGAGAUGGAUCCGCGGUGCAUUAGUUAGUUGGUGGGGUAAAGGCCUACCAAGACAAUGAUGCAUAGCCGAGUUGAGAGACUGAUCGGCCACAUUGGGACUGAGACACGGCCCAAACUCCUACGGGAGGCUGCAGUAGGGAAUCUUCCACAAUGGGCGAAAGCCUGAUGGAGCAACGCCGCGUGUGUGAUGAAGGCUUUCGGGUCGUAAAGCACUGUUGUAUGGGAAGAACAGCUAGAAUAGGAAAUGAUUUUAGUUUGACGGUACCAUACCAGAAAGGGACGGCUAAAUACGUGCCAGCAGCCGCGGUAAUACGUAUGUCCCGAGCGUUAUCCGGAUUUAUUGGGCGUAAAGCGAGCGCAGACGGUUUAUUAAGUCUGAUGUGAAAGCCCGGAGCUCAACUCCGGAAUGGCAUUGGAAACUGGUUAACUUGAGUGCAGUAGAGGUAAGUGGAACUCCAUGUGUAGCGGUGGAAUGCGUAGAUAUAUGGAAGAACACCAGUGGCGAAGGCGGCUUACUGGACUGCAACUGACGUUGAGGCUCGAAAGU
rnacentral:rRNA from 1 species